CGGAGGGUGCAAACGUUGCUCGGAAUUAUUGGGCGUAAAGCGCACGUAGGCGGCUCGUUUAGUCGGGUGUGAAAGCCCUGGGCUCAACCCAGGAAGUGCACUCGAUACUGGCGAGCUUGAAUAUCGAAGAGGAUCGCGGAAUUCCCGGUGUAGAGGUGAAAUUCGUAGAUAUCGGGAGGAACACCAGUGGCGAAAGCGGCGAUCUGGGCGAAUAUUGACGCUGAGGUGCGAAAGCGUGGGGAGCGAAACAGGAUUAGAUACCCUGGUAGUCCACGCUGUAAACGAUGAGUGCUAGAUGUUGUGGGUAUUGACCCCUGCAGCGUCGCAGCUAACGCAUUAAGCACUCCGCCUGGGGAGUACGGCCGCAAGGCUA
rnacentral:rRNA from 1 species